ensembl:snRNA U6 U6 spliceosomal RNA
UUGCUUCCUUCGGCAGCACAGAUACUAAAAUUGGACCGAUAUAGAGGUGAGCCUGGCCCCUGUGCCAGGAUGACAUGCAAAUUUGUGAAGCAUUCCAUGAAAAA